rnacentral:rRNA from 1 species
AUUGAACGCUGGCGGCAUGCCUUACACAUGCAAGUCGAACGGCAGCACGGGAGCAAUCCUGGUGGCGAGUGGCGAACGGGUGAGUAAUGUAUCGGAACGUACCUUUCAGUGGGGGAUAACGUAGCGAAAGUUACGCUAAUACCGCAUAUUCUGUGAGCAGGAAAGCAGGGGAUCGCAAGACCUUGCGCUGAUUGAGCGGCCGAUAUCAGAUUUAGCUAGUUGGUGAGGUAAAGGCUCACCAAGGCGACGAUCUGUAGCGGGUCUGAGAGGAUGAUCCGCCACACUGGAACUGAGACACGGUCCAGACUCCUACGGGAGGCAGCAGUGGGGAAUUUUGGACAAUGGGCGCAAGCCUGAUCCAGCCAUGCCGCGUGAGUGAAGAAGGCCUGUC